rnacentral:pre_miRNA from 1 species
UUUAUACUCCCUCCGUCCAGAAAUACUUGUCGAAGAAAUUGAUGUAUCUAGACAUAUUUUAGUUCUAGAUAUAUCCAUUUUUAUCCAUUCCCCGACAAGUAUUUCGGGAUGGAGGGAGUAUCAU